rnacentral:rRNA from 1 species
UACGUAGGGGGCGAGCGUUGUCCGGAUUUAUUGGGCGUAAAGAGCGUGUAGGCGGCCAGGUAGGUCGGUUGUGAAAACUGGAGGCUCAACCUUCAGAGGUCGACCCGAAACCAUCUGGCUAGAGUCCGGGAAGAGGAGAGUGGAAUUCCUGGUGUAGCGGUGAAAUGCGCAGAUAUCAGGAAGAACACCAAUGGCGAAAAGCAGCUCCUCGUGGGACGGUACUGACGCUGAGACGCGAAAAGCGUGGGGG